CGAGACCCCAGGUCAGGCGGGAUUACCCGCUGA
rnacentral:rRNA from 1 species